CCUACGGGAGGCAGCAGUGGGGAAUAUUGGUCAAUGGGCGCAAGCCUGACCCAGCAACGCCGCGUGAAGGAAGAAUACUUUCGGGUUGUAAACUUCUUUUCUCAGGGACGAAGCAAGUGACGGUACCUGAGGAUUAAGCCACGGCUAACUACGUGCCAGCAGCCGCGGUAAUACGUAGGUGGCAAGCGUUAUCCGGAUUUACUGGGUUUAAAGGUCGUGUAGGCGGGACUGCAAGUCAGAUGUGAAACCCACGGGCUCAACCUGUUGCCUGCAUUUGAAACUGUAGUUCUUGAGUACUGGAGAGGCAGACGGAAUUCCUAGUGUAGCGGUGAAAUGCGUAGAUAUUAGGAGGAACACCGGUGGCGAAGGCGGUCUGCUGGACAGCAACUGACGCUGAGGCGCGAAAGCGUGGGGAGCAAACAGGAUUAGAUACCCCAGUAGUC
rnacentral:rRNA from 1 species